AGCUUCAGCAGGAUAUAGAGAACAGACAGAGGAGGGAUUCUUCUCUCAGAAUGAGUGACUCACAGGAGUCUAUGGAGGUGACCUUACAAACAGAAGUGGAUUCUGGUGCAAGUGGAUUUAGUGUGACUGGCGGAGGAAAUGAAGGAAUAUUUGUGAAGCAUGUCCUCAAGGAAUCUCCAGCAUCAAAGCUGUUUAACUUACGAGAAGGUGAUCAGCUUCUGAGUGCCACAGUCUUUUUUGAUAAUAUCAAAUAUGAAGAUGCACUCAAGAUUCUGCAGUACUCUGAACCGUACAAAGUACAGUUCAGUCUUAAAAGAAAACUUGCUGGGAAGGAAGAGCUGGAAACGAUACAUUCUGCAACACAGUCAAAAAAGGAAAAAUUGAGCCAGGUACUGUAUAGUGGAACUAUA